UGAGGAAUAUUGGACAAUGGGCGCAAGCCUGAUCCAGCCAUGCCGCGUGCAGGAAGAAGCAUCUAUGGUGUGUAAACUGCUUUUGUACGGGAAGAAACACUCCUUCGUGAAGGAGCUUGACGGUACCGUAAGAAUAAGGAUCGGCUAACUCCGUGCCAGCAGCCGCGGUAAUACGGAGGGUCCAAGCGUUAUCCGGAAUCAUUGGGUUUAAAGGGUCCGUAGGCGGUUUAGUAAGUCAGUGGUGAAAGCCCAUCGCUCAACGAUGGAACGGCCAUUGAUACUGCUAGACUUGAAUUAUUAAGAAGUGACUGGAAUAUGUAGUGUAGCGGUGAAAUGCUUAGAUAUUACAUGGAAUACCAAUUGCGAAGGCAGGUUACUGCUCAUGGAUUGACGCUGAUGGACGAAAGCGUGGGGAGCGAACA
rnacentral:rRNA from 1 species